AUGCUGGUUUGCUUUUCUCUAUUUUUUUUUUUAAUAUCUGCCACAGGAGGGGUAGGUAGAUGUAAAUUAAGGGACAAGUUGAUUCACUCAUUUUGAUGGUUCUCUUUCCUCCAGUUCGUCAAUAUUAUUUACCUUGAUCUCUUAAAUGCUUUUGUAGGUUCAGAUCUUUUAGUUUGUUUGCAGGUUUCUGAUUAUGUGCAUGAUUACUAGGAUGUCCUUGUUCCCUCAUUGCAGGCUCCUCUGUACAUCAGUAUGGAAUGUAAAGGAUGGAUUCCUCUGAGCAUGCUAUUGGAGUUGAAUUAAAGAACAUAGAAGUUCUAUAUCUGACAAUAUGAAACCCCUAGUUGCUGCUUUCUAUCUAACAAUGGAUGUCCGGGGCUUGUACAUAUCCACGACAAUCUUUGCGCUUUUAUAAUGUUUAAGCUUUGUCAUGCUUGCCCUAAAAUCCCUUCGCUACAAGUCAAAGAGUUGAGAUAUGGCUUAGCUAGUGGAACUUCUUGUUUGAAUGAGUUCAACUGCAAACCUGCUUUCACCUUCAUAAGAUGUCUCAUAAUGAGUGCCUAUAGAUAUGGAAAUUGUAUCGUAUGUUGAAUUCGACCGUGUGGAUUGCCUUCUUAAUGAGUUAAAGGAAACACAUCCUACAUAUGUUGAACGGGAAGAAGGGAAGAAGACUCUCGGGUAGUGCUUCAUCAGACUCCUGCGAAACCCCAGACCCGGAAUCUUUUUCUAGAUCCUGCUUGAUACUUGUCGUAAAAUUUAGUUCGUAGUAGUUGUUAGAGUUGAGCAUCAAGAAACCAGAAUAGUCAUUGUAUCAAUUAUCUGGAAGUCGCAAUGUAAAUGUCUUUCCCCUG